rnacentral:lncRNA from 10 species
AGCCAGCACACACACGUCAGGCAAAAGGCAUAUACUUCACACCUUGAAGAGAAGACAGGGCCUUAUCUACUUAUACUUUUCAUCUAGUCCUCAACUUGCUGCUUCUUCCCCUUGACCUUGGUGAUUCCUAAGACAGCUAUGCUAUUAGGAUUUAAUUAAAUGGAUGCCAACAGCAAGUAAACCAUCUCCAAAGAUGCCAUGAAGCUCUCCUAAUUGCAGGAAAAUAUCAGAGGCACUUGAUUUGAGUCUUUCAAGUACGGAAAUAACAAAUUCAGUCUCAACAGACCUAUAGUGAAUGAGGACAUUGAGAUCUGCUGGUUGGAGAUCUUAGUGCCCAAGGAAGAAUGCUUGCAAAAGGAGAUGGAACAGUGUUUCUGUUGCAUUGGCCACUGAGAAUAUCUGGUUAUUUUGAAUUUGUCACAGUCUGCAGCUAAAAGGCGAACAGGAAAAGAAGAGAGAGCGGUAAUUUGAAUGAUAGCAGAUUUCACAUCAGGAACCAAUGAAGCUAGAUAAGAAUGCAACAUCUUUGAUGUCUAAAAGAAACAAAAAGCCAACCUUGAAUUCUUUAUUUAGUGAAGUUACCCUUCAGAAAUGACGGCAAAAUAAAGAUGUUUUCCAAUAAAAGACAACUAUGAGAAUUCUUCACCAGCAGUCCUAUUGUAUCAGAACAGCCAAAAGAAGUUUGUCAGCCUACAGGGAAUUAUAUCAAAGGGAAGACUUGACCUUGAAAAUGAAUGAGGAAUAUAAGAAAUUGAUAUUAUCUGGGAAUUCACUGAAUGUCUAUCUAUCAUGUAUGCUGUUGGAGGCACCUGUCUUUCAGUUCAGAGGUUAUGGAUGUAUCUAUCAUCAGUAUUUCGGGAAGUCAGGGACCCGGAACAGAGGGACUUAAUGAAGCUGUGGCAGAAGAAAAAAUUAUGAAGAUUUCAUGGACAUUUAUUAGUUCCCCAAAUUAAUACUUUUAUAAUUUCUUACACCUGUCUUUACUGCACUCUCUGAACAUAAAUUGUGAAGAUUUCAUGGACAUUUAUCACUUCCCCAAUCAACACUCUUAUAAUUUCCUAUGCCUGUCUGUACUUUAAUAUCUUAAUCCCAUCAUCUUUGUAAGCUGAACAUGUAUGUCCCUCAGGACCCUGUGAUGAUUGUGCUAUCUGCACAAAUUGUUUGUAAAGCAUGUGUGUUUGAACAGUAUGAAAUCUGGGCAUCUAGAAAAGGAACAGGAUAACAACGACUUUCAGGGAACAAGGGAGAUAACCAUUAGGUCUGACUGCCUGGAAGCCAGGCAGGACCAAGUCAUAUUUCUCUUAUUGUCAAAAACGGGUAAGAGAAAUAUUGCUGAAUUCUUUCCCCAGUAAGGAAUAUUAAUAACUAACAACCCUGGGAAAAGAAUGCAUUCCCGGGGGGCGGCCUCUAAAAUGGCCGCUCUGGGAAUGUCUGCUUUAUGCAGUUGUAGAUAGGGAUGAAACAUGCCCUGGUCUCCUGCAGCGCCCCCAGGCUUGCUAGGAUUAGGAUAUCCAGCCUGGUGAAUUUUAGUCAGACUGGUUGUUUGCUCUCAAACCCUAUCUUCUGAAAAGAUGUUAUCAAUGACAAUGUGUGCCCGGUGGGACAUGAGACUUCCUCAGCAAUUCUAAUUUUGCCCUGAUCCUGUGAUCUCACUCUGCCCCCAUCUGCCUUGUGAUAUUUUAUUGCCCUUGAAGCAUGUGAUCUCUGUGACCCACACCCUAUUAGUACACCCCUCUCCUUUUGAAAUCCAUAAUAAAAACUUGCUGGUUUUGUGGCUCAAGGGGCAUCACGGAACCUGCCGACAUGUGAUGUCUCCCCUAGACACCUAGCUGUAAAAUUUAUCUCUUUUGUACUCUUUCCCUUUAUUUCUCAGACCAGCUGACACUUAGGGAAAAUAGAAAAGAACCUAUGUUGAAAUAUUGGGGGCUGGUUCCCCCAGUACAUUUCGACCUUGGAGAAUCUGAUGAUUUUGUGCCUGAUGGUUUUCUUUUGUAGUAUCUUGCUGGGGUUCUCCGCAAGAUUUGAACAUUCUCUGAUUUGAAUGUUGGCCUCUAGGUUGGGAGAAUUUUCGUGGAUGAUAUCCUUAAAUAUGUUUUACAAGUUGCUUACUUUCUCUCCCUCUCUUUCAAGGAUUCAAAUGAGACAUAGAUUUGUUCUCUUUACAUAAUCCCGUAUUUCUUGGAGGUUUUGUUCAUUCUUUUUUAUUCUUUUUUAUUUUUAUCUGACUGUGUUAGUUUGGAGAACCCGUCUUCAAGUGCUGAGAUUCUUUCCUCAGCUUGGUCUAUUCUGUUGUUAAUACUAGCAAUUGCAUUAUGAAAUUCUUGUUGUGUGUUUUUCAGCUCUAUCAGGUCAGUUUGGUUCUUUCUUAUACCAACCAUUUUAUCUUUUAGUUCCUGUAUCAUUUUAUUGUAAUCUUUAGAUUCCUUGGAUUGGGUUUCAACUUUCUGCUGAAUCUUGAUGAUCUUCAUUCUUAUCCACAUUCUGAAAUAUAUUUUUGUCAUUUCAGCCAUUUCAGCCUGGUUAAGAAGCCUUUCUGGGGAAUUAGUGUAGUCAUUUGGGGGAAAGAAAACACUGUGGCUUUUUGAAUUGCAGAGUUUCUGUGUGGGUUCUUUCUUAUCGUGUGGGCUGAUGGUCCUUUAACUGCAGUGUACAGUGAGGUGACUUCUUUUCUUGAUGUUUUCAGAAGGCUGAGACUUUGUGCAAAGUCUUUAGUUGUUGCUGAGUUCUUCUUCUUGGUUUCACAAGGGGGUAUAUUAGCAAAAUAUUUUGAUGUUGAAGUUUGGGCUGUGAUCUAGUAGAUGGUUCUUAAGCAUAAUGAACUGUACAUAGUCUCUUGCUCAGCCAUGUGACUCCUCUGUAUUUCCUCACAAUUGCAGCCUGCUUUCUCUCAGGGCCUGGAAAGUGUGGGCUCCUCUCCCACUCGAGUGCUGGCUGCAGAUCUUGUCUUGGCAAUCCCGAACUGUACACCACUGUCCUGGGGUGAACUCAGCUUUUUAGGCUUUAUUUUCCUUCCCCAGCUUGUAAGCAAGAGGAGAAGCUACCUUGGCAGCAGCUGAGGCAGAGGGCCUUUCACUUGUUUCUUGGAUCUCCACUCCAGAGAAAUGCAGAACCACUACCAAUGGGUGCAAUUAGCCUGGGAUGGGGAGGCUGAGUUGUGGGCCUGAUCCUGGGGAUCCACGGUACCAAGGAAAUGGGGCAGGCUCUUGGAGGAGGCAGACUGGCUUCUUCUUCUCCUUAGGGCAACUGCAACUACAACUUUUGGGUAAAGCACUUAGAGUCUUUGUUCCUUCCCCAGUCCGAGGGCAGCAAGGGCAGUACCACUGCAGCAGCAGUAGCAGAGGGGCUUUUAGUUGCUUCUGGGUGCCCCUCCCCUAGGGAAACACGGAGCCACUAGCAGUGGAACGGUCAGCUGUGGGUGAGGUAGCUGUUCUGUAGUCCCAAGCUGAGGCUCCUACCUGCUGAAGACUGGGUAGGGACUCACAGGGGAUAGAGACUGAAUUCCUCUCCAUAUGGUGGCUGCAGCAUGCUAGAUAUCCUGGCAUAGCAACCAGGCCCUUUGUGCUUUCCCCAGCUCAAGGGGUAGUAAGGAUGGUACCACAGCAGUUGCAAUGGUAGAGAGCUGUGGGUUGUCUCUGGGAUUUCCUCCAUAGAGAAAGGCAGAGCCACCACCAACUGCAGUGUUCAGGCAUGGUUAGGGUGUUUGUGCUGGGAGCCCAGGUUGAGAGGCACUGCCCAGUGAAGAUUAGUGGAGAUAGGACCUGUGUGUAAAACAGUCUGGCUGCUUUUCUGUAAGACUGCUGUGCUGUGCUGGGGGCCAAUGUUACUUCCUAAUUAUUAUUGCAUUUCCUCCUGAACCUGAGGGCAAUAGGAGUGAGGGCUGCAGAGCAGCAAAAAUGGUGGCCUACCUUUCCCUCUGAGAGCUCUGUCCCAGGAAAGUUCAGAGCUGCUAACCAGCUCAAGAGCCCAGGCCCAGUAUGGCUGGCGUCCCGGGUUAGGAGGCCCUGCCCUGUGAGGAAUAGUGGGUUCAGGGACCCACGUGGAAAACUGGCUGCUUUUCUGUCAGGUGGAGUUACAUCGCUGGGGGUCCUUGUUAGUCUCCAAUCACUGUGUACCCUCCCAAGCCUAAGGGCAACAGGGCCGAGGGUUGUAGAGCAGCAAAAAUGUCAGCCUGCCCCUUCCUCUGGGACCUCCAUCUCAGGGAAGUGGAGAGCUGCUCCCAGCCCAAGAACUCAAACAGGGUUGGGGUGACCUCAUUAGCAUCCCAGGCCAGUGAGCUGUAUCCUGCCCUACGAGUUGCAGUGGAGGUGAGGCCUGCAGUCCCUCAUUGCUCAGCCUUGUAGAUUCAGGCCCUUUCCUGGGAGUCUGCAAAGGAGCCUGGCCUCCCCCAUUGCCAGAACUGCAGCUACUGGUGUUGGGGUGCUGGAGAAUCCAAGGCUCCUGCGACUCUGCUUGUGCCUGUGUGGCUUGGUCUGCUCAGACUCCCCACAGCACUUCAUGUGGGUGUGGAGGCUCCUGUGUUGGGAAAUCACAGGGAAUGUCCUGAGCCCAGGGAUGCAAAGGCUGUAGCAGAAGUAUGAGUCCCUGCAGACUAUCACUCAGUCACUCAUCAUUUCCCCACAGUAUAGGGGUCUCCUCUAUCUCCAUGCCAGUUCCAGGUAGGCAGUCGUCCUAUCUUGCUCUUCUCUGUUCUCUGUGGGUAACAUUGUUUCCUUGAUGAAUCCCAAUGUGUCCACCUGGAUGUUCUAGUUGAAGAGCUAGUGUUACUUGUUACUUUUCCUUCUUUCCACGAGAGCAGCACACACUAGCUGCUUCUAGUCAGCCAUCUUGGCCCCAGAACCUGGUUUUCUCAUAUUUUUGACUUGUGAUUUAUGAUGCAAAAGAGGUGUCAGUUUGUGGACACAUCAGAAAUUACAUUAAUUGUUUCUGAUAUUUCAUCUCCAAAUAAAAAUCAAACCUGUACUAUCUUUCCACACUUGUUAUUAAUUGAAAUAUUUAAACCUCUCAACUGCUAAAUAGAUCUCUAAAUUAUGUGACUACUGCAAGACCGUGUAAGUGGCUUGGCACUGUUAGAUGGGGUGCUUUAUUACAACCUAAUGAAUUAAGUGUACUAAAUUUUUAAUCAUUAAUUUCUAGUAUCAAAAUGGUGAGUAUAAGGUGUGAAGUUUUAUUUAAUGACUUAAUUUUGAGUCUUAGUUCCAGGAAAGACUUCUAAAUUAGAAUUCACCCUAGGAUAAUUA